AGGAUGAACGCUAGCUACAGGCUUAACACAUGCAAGUCGAGGGGCAGCAUGGGCGUCGCUUGCGGCGCCUGAUGGCGACCGGCGCACGGGUGAGUAACGCGUAUCCAACCUGCCCCGAACCGCGGUAUAGCCCGCCGAAAGGCGGAUUAAUCCCGCAUGAGGUCGUGAGACGGCAUCAGACCACGACCAAAGGUUUGUCCGGUUCGGGAUGGGGAUGCGUCCGAUUAGGCAGCAGGCGGGGUAACGGCCCACCUGGCCACCGAUCGGUAGGGGUUCUGAGAGGAAGGUCCCCCACAUUGGAACUGAGACACGGUCCAAACUCCUACGGGAGGCAGCAGUGAGGAAUAUUGGUCAAUGGGCGGUAGCCUGAACCAGCCCAAGUAGCGUGUGGGACGACGGCCCUACGGGUUGUAAACCACUUUUUCGCGGGGAUAACAUCCGGGACUUGUCCCGGCUUGCAGGUACCGCGUGAAUAAGGACCGGCUAAUUCCGUGCCAGCCGCUGC
rnacentral:rRNA from 1 species